AAAUAAGAAGUAAAAAUUACCUUUAGUUUCGACCUAAAAUUAUGAUGAAUCUCAUCCUUAUUUA
rnacentral:tRNA from 1 species